UGAGAGCCCUCUAUGAACGUCCUCUGU
rnacentral:piRNA from 1 species